rnacentral:rRNA from 1 species
GGGAUUCCCAGUGUAGCGGUGAAUUGCGUAGAGAUUGGGAAGUACACCGGUGUCGAAAGCGCUCUACUGGCUCGCACCUGACCCUCAGGGACGAAAGCUAAGGUAGCGAGAGGGAUUAGAUACCCCUGUAGUCUUAGCCGUAAACGAUGGAUACUAGGCGUGGUUUGUAUCGACCCAAGCCGUGCCGAAGCUAACGCGUUAAGUAUCCCGCCUGGGGAGUACGCACGCAAGUGUGAAACUCAAAGGAAUUGACGGGGGCCCGCACAAGCGGUGGAGGAUGUGGUUUAAUUCGAUGCAACGCGAAGAACCUUACCAGGGCUUGACAUCCCGCGAAUCUUGCUGAAAGGUGAGAGUGCCUUCGGGAGCGCGGAGACAGGUGGUGCAUGGCUGUCGUCAGCUCGUGUCGUGAGAUGUUGGGUUAAGUCCCGCAACGAGCGCAACCCUCGUCCUUAGUUGCCAGCAUUAAGUUGGGCACUCUAGGGAGACUGCCGGUGACAAACCGGAGGAAGGUGAGGAUGACGUCAAGUCAGCAUGCCCCUUAUGCUCUGGGCGACACACGUCCUACAAUGGUCGGGACAAAGGGGAGCAAGCUCGCGAGAGUAAGCGAAUCCCAGCAAACUCGGCCUCAGUUCAGAUUGCAGGCUGCAACUCGCCUGCAUGAAGGAGGAAUCGCUAGUAAUCGCAGGUCAGCAUACUGCGGUGAAUUCGUUCCCGGGCCUUGUACACACCGCCCGUCACACCAUGGAAGCUGGCCAAGCCCGAAGUCGUUACCCUAACCGUUUGGAGGGGGGCGCCGAAGGCUGGGCUAGUGA